rnacentral:piRNA from 1 species
UAACCCUCUAGCCAGUAGGGGCUUAGGUGA